UACGAAGGGGGCUAGCGUUGCUCGGAAUUACUGGGCGUAAAGGGCGCGUAGGCGGACAGUUUAGUCAGAGGUGAAAGCCCAGGGCUCAACCUUGGAAUUGCCUUUGAUACUGGCUGUCUUGAGUGCGGGAGAGGUGUGUGGAACUCCGAGUGUAGAGGUGAAAUUCGUAGAUAUUCGGAAGAACACCAGUGGCGAAGGCGACACACUGGCCCGUAACUGACGCUGAGGCGCGAAAGCGUGGGGAGCAAACAGG
rnacentral:rRNA from 1 species